rnacentral:tRNA from 1 species
GGUAAUUUAGCUCAGUGGUUCCAGCGCCUGCCUUGCAAGCACAAGGUCCUGAGUUCAAUCCCCAGUACCA